AAGGCCUUAAGUUAAUAUACAAACUAAUAACCUUCAAAGCUAUAAAUAAAGGGCUACCUUUAGGCCUUG
rnacentral:tRNA from 1 species